AUUAUCAUAUGACAAUGCCUUAGAAAGCAGCAUUGUUGUUGCAACAACACCUCAACUGUAGAGAGGCAACAGAAAAUCAUCUUCUUGCAAACACAAAUCAUGUCAAUUCCAUCUCAAAUGCAGGGAUAAAGUUGGUUUAUAUUAAAUGAUCGAAUGGUAGCGUGACGCGUGGAACCGAAGACAGGCAGAAGAUAAAUCGAGUAAUAGCCAGUACCGGGAACAACAGCUGUAAUUGGCAUCAGAUAGACUCCGAAGGAAGCACAAUCAACGGGAGUGGAUCGAAUGUUUGUCACCAGAUGGCAAUCAAUGAAGAAUAUUCCCUAGCAUUAAAUGGGAAGUCAUUGCAAAGAAUAUUUGCAUUCAUAGUCUGCCGUUACAUAUUCAUCAAUGGCCCAUUGACCCAUUUAUUGUCAUUUAAGAGGGGCUUGAUCCUAAGAUCUUGUUUCCCUAGGUAUAGCUAUAAAUAGCAGUUUCAAUAGCCAUUGUAAAGCGACGAAAUCCUUGGCAAAACUUAUGCUACAUUUCAUUCUCAAGCUCAAAUAAAAUAACUUUAUUAUUUGUUCUUUA